GAAUAUUUUAGAUGAAGGAGAUGGAUAGAUGUGUUUUUAUAUUAGUGUUUAAUCUUUGGAAGAUUUAUUUAUAUUCAUAAGCUGAUUUCGCAAGGAUUUCUCAAAGGUCAAUGCAACCAUACACUGCAGAAUUAAAAAGAACGUUUUUUCAGUAUUUCUGAGUUUGUAAAAAUAAACAGUUGUUUCACAGUGUAUCAGCUUGUUUUAUUUAAUAUUUUAGUCCUAUUUAGGUCCACAUCAUCGAUCCCUCUAAUAAUAUUAUACCGUCGAAUAUAAAAUAUCAAAAUAUUAUUAUCUAAUAGCUUAAUUUGUUAGAGAUAGUAGUUGUUGUACAAAACAUUAAUUUGGCUUCAAUACGAACCAUACGAAAUAAUUAUUCUUUCUUCAACAAAUUUAA
rnacentral:lncRNA from 1 species